UGGGGGAUAUUGCACAAUGGGGGAAACCCUGAUGCAGCGACGCCGCGUGUAGGAAGACGGUCCUCUGGAUUGUAAACUACUGUCUUCGGGGACGAUAAUGACGGUACCCGAGGAGGAAGCUCCGGCUAACUACGUGCCAGCAGCCGCGGUAAUACGAAGGGGGCAAGCGUUGUUCGGAAUUACUGGGCGUAAAGCGCACGCAGGCGGCGUGACGCGUCAGAAGUGAAAUCCCCGGGCUCAACCUGGGAACUGCUUUUGAAACGGUCAUGCUUGAAUCAUGGAGAGGGUAGCGGAAUUCCGAGUGUAGAGGUGAAAUUCGUAGAUAUUCGGAAGAACACCGGUGGCGAAGGCGGCUACCUGGCCAUGUAUUGACGCUCAGGUGCGAAAGCGUGGGGAGCAAACA
rnacentral:rRNA from 1 species